rnacentral:rRNA from 1 species
UUAAGCAUAUCAAUAAGCGGAGGAAAAGAAACCAACAGGGAUUGCCCUAGUAACGGCGAGUGAAGCGGCAACAGCUCAAAUUUGAAAUCUGGCUCUCGGGCCCGAGUUGUAAUUUGUAGAGGAUACUUUUGAUGCGGUGCCUUCCGAGUUCCCUGGAACGGGACGCCAUAGAGGGUGAGAGCCCCGUCUGGUUGGAUGCCAAAUCUCUGUAAAGUUCCUUCAACGAGUCGAGUAGUUUGGGAAUGCUGCUCUAAAUGGGAGGUAUAUGUCUUCUAAAGCUAAAUACCGGCCAGAGACCGAUAGCGCACAAGUAGAGUGAUCGAAAGAUGAAAAGCACUUUGAAAAGAGAGUUAAAAAGUACGUGAAAUUGUUGAAAGGGAAGCGUUUAUGACCAGACUUGGGCUUGGUUAAUCAUCUGGGGUUCUCCCCAGUGCACUUUUCCAGUCCAGGCCAGCAUCAGUUUUCCCCGGGGGAUAAAGGCGGCGGGAAUGUGGCUCUCUUCGGGGAGUGUUAUAGCCCGUCGUGUAAUACCCUGGGGGGGACUGAGGUUCGCGCAUCUGCAAGGAUGCUGGCGUAAUGGUCAUCAACGACCCGUCUUGAAACACGGACCAAGGAGUCGUCUUCGUAUGCGAGUGUUCGGGUGUCAAACCCCUACGCGUAAUGAAAGUGAACGCAGGUGAGAGCUUCGGCGCAUCAUCGACCGAUCCUGAUGUUCUCGGAUGGAUUUGAGUAAGAGCAUACGGGGCCGGACCCGAAAGAAGGUGAACUAUGCCUGUAUAGGGUGAAGCCAGAGGAAACUCUGGUGGAGGCUCGCAGCGGUUCUGACGUGCAAAUCGAUCGUCAAAUAUG